GUUGGGGGGAAGGGCGGGGACAUUGGCGUGGAGUUGGGAAGCAGAGAGUUGAGGAUGCAAGGAAAGGAUUCAUAGGCAGCUUGGACCCCGGGGACAAUGACAAGUUCCUGGACAUCACCCUGCAAAGACAUGGGGAAGGAACACCAAUGAAGGGAGACUGAGAGAGAGACAGAGGGAAUAGUCUGGGACAAAAGGCUGAGGCCUCGGAAGACCGGCUGAACCGGAGGUUGCGGCCGUCCAGUCUGGUCCUCAUACAGGAAGCGGACAGGUCGGCCAAGCUC